AAUCAACGCUGGCGGCGUGCCUCAGACAUGCAAGUCGAACGCGAAAGUUUCCUUCGGGAAGCAAGUAGAGUGGCGUCCGGGUGAGUAACACGUAGGUAAUCUACCUUUGGGUGGGGAAUAACAACCGGAAACGGUUGCUAAUACCGCAUAAUGCAGCGGCAUCACAUGAUGACAGUUGUUAACGCGGGGGAGUCGCAAGACC
rnacentral:rRNA from 1 species